rnacentral:rRNA from 1 species
AACGAACGCUGGCGGCAUGCCUAACACAUGCAAGUCGAACGAGACCUUCGGGUCUAGUGGCGCACGGGUGCGUAACGCGUGGGAACCUGCCCUUAGGUUCGGAAUAACUCCCCGAAAGGGGUGCUAAUACCGGAUAAUGUCUUCGGACCAAAGAUUUAUCGCCUUUGGAUGGGCCCGCGUUGGAUUAGCUAGUUGGUAGGGUAAAAGCCUACCAAGGCGACGAUCCAUAGCUGGUCUGAGAGGAUGAUCAGCCACACUGGGACUGAGACCCGGCCCAGACUCCUACGGGAGGCAGCAGUGGGGAAUAUUGGACAAUGGGCGAAAGCAUGAUCCAGCAAUGCCGCGUGAGUGAUGAAGGCCUUAGGGUUGUAAAGCUCUUUUACCCGGGAUGAUAAUGACAGUACCGGGAGAAUAAGCUCCGGCUAACUCCGUG